UACAGAGGUCUCAAGCGUUGUUCGGAUUCAUUGGGCGUAAAGGGUGCGUAGGCGGCGCGGUAAGUCGGGUGUGAAAUCUCGGAGCUUAACUCCGAAACUGCAUUCGAUACUGCCGUGCUUGAGGACUGGAGAGGAGACUGGAAUUUACGGUGUAGCGGUGAAAUGCGUAGAUAUCGUAAGGAAGACCAGUGGCGAAGGCGGGUCUCUGGACAGUUCCUGACGCUGAGGCACGAAGGUCAGGGGAGCUAACGGG
rnacentral:rRNA from 1 species